rnacentral:lncRNA from 1 species
UUCCUUCGCACGCCUGUCCACCGCCUCUCUCCCUCAUCCGAUUCUCUCUUCUCCUUUGGCCUCCUGCGCACGCCAGCUCCUUCGUCUCUCUCUUUUUCUUUGUGCGACGCCUUCAGCUUCUUCUCCAUGAUCAUUUCCCCUCCAUCUCCUCUGCCAUCUACCGAAGCCACUCAUCCCCUGCUCCACUCUCAUACGCCCACCUCCACUCACGAUUCUCCUCUACCGGCCACGCCUCCUCUUCGGUCAACCAACGAAAUUCUCCUCCAUUAAUGUUGACUACCGCUGCUUCUCUGCCACCGAAGACCAGCGAAAUUCCUCAAGUUGCCAUCUCCAAAGCUCACCGAACCGAAGCCUCACUCUGCAGUUUUGUUGACCGCCAGCUCGCCCGUGGGUCUCCACGAAGCCGAGCUUCGUUGCCGCGUCCACCUCAAGUUCAACCGAGGAAAAUCCAGCUCCUUCGGUCUUGAACCGUAGGCUUUGUUGGCUGAUUUCAGCCGGUCCAAGCUCCUGUCGGCCUUGCCGUGAGCUUAAGUCUUGGCCGCCGUUGCGCUGCCGUCGCCGUGAGCCGAUUUU